GACGAACGCUGGCGGCGUGCUUAACACAUGCAAGUCGAACGGAAAGGCCCUGCUUUUGUGGGGUGCUCGAGUGGCGAACGGGUGAGUAACACGUGAGUAACCUGCCCUUGACUUUGGGAUAACUUCAGGAAACUGGGGCUAAUACCGGAUAGGAGCUCCUGCUGCAUGGUGGGGGUUGGAAAGUUUCGGCGGUUGGGGAUGGACUCGCGGCUUAUCAGCUUGUUGGUGGGGUAGUGGCUUACCAAGGCUUUGACGGGUAGCCGGCCUGAGAGGGUGACCGGCCACAUGGGGACUGAGAGACGGACCAGACUCCUACGGGAGGCAGCAGGCGGGAAUAUGGCACAAUGAGCGGAAGCCUGAUGCAGCAACGCCGGGUGCGGGAUGACCGCCUUCGGGGUGUAAACCGCUUUCGCCUGUGACGAAGCGUGAGUGACGGUAAUGGGUAAAGAAGCACCGGCUAACUACGUG
rnacentral:rRNA from 1 species